UCAAACAGAGCAUCUUAAUGGGGACAAAAAGGGAUUUAAGUGACUUUGAAUGUGGCGUGGUUGUUGGUGCCAGACGGGCUGGUCUGAGUGUUUCAGAAACCGCUGAUCUACUGGUAUUUUCAUGCAAAACCAUCUCUAGGAUUUAUAGAGAAUGUUACUGAGUUAUGGGGUAAAAACAGCAA